GGAAAUCUGCUUGGUUUCCAGAAUACAGAGCAAGUGUCCGUAGGUGAAGGUUUUUUGGUUGGAUAUUGGUAUCAUGAAUCACUGAUGAAAAUUCAGCCAAAGAAUUUGAAUAACGUGCUCAGAAUCAUAGAAUGGAUUCAUAGCAGCCUUAAAAAGUCCACAUCUCCUAAGUGUCAAUCCUGUGAUUUUACCAUAGGAUCAUCCCUUCUCCGUCGCAGUGGUUAAAUAAGAUGUUACAACAACACAGAAUUAAGGCCUACUUUAAGUCCACUGCAGAAAAUUCUUUUGUGGUUGUUGUUGUUGGCUUUAUGUACCUUACAGGAUCCAGUGAAUGGCAUUAUUCCUUAAAAAACCAUAAAAAACAUUAAGCAAACCAAAAGGGGAUCUGAAUGACUUUUAGUAGAGACAGCAAAGAGGAGAGGCUUUGCAGUACAGGGGCUGGUCCUUUCAGGGCUGUGGACGUAUGUAUUCGCUUGGCUGGCAGCUUGGAAAAUACCAGUGUGGUGAGGGCGAGGACAGUCUGUAAAAGCCUGUGUGAUUUUAUUCUUGGCUUGCAUGCUUUCACUGUCAAUGAAAAUGCUGUGUGGGAUUCAGUUCCUCGGAACUGAGUGAAAAGGCCACAGGUGCCAAAUCUGAUUGCUCUCAAUGGCCAUCUUAGACACAGAAGCGCUGCAGAAAGAUCGUAGAAGAAGGCGAAGAGCUAAUUUAUUAUUGAACUGCAACACACCAGUAACACUGAAAUAUCUUGGAGAAUGUAUCCUGAACAAUGAGCCCAAACCAGGCAUGUGUCCUGCCAUGAGUACCUGGCGGAGGAGAACAGGUUUAGUACUUCAUGCUGGGAAUACUAUAGAGAACACAACUGUAAACAAAAUAAGCGUGAGUUUGGUAUGAGAUCUGACUUGAAAUGAGGUCUUGAGUUAAUUUCAAGAGAGGUUCCUAAUUUCUUCCAAGUUUGGCUAUUUGAAGUCUAAAUUCUCACAUGUGCACUAAGUAAAGAACUUAGAUUUUCUUAAGUUUUUGAGUAUGUGCAGUAACUCAUUUGGCAUACCUGUCAGUUUGUUCACUAACAUAACGUAGAGUUACAAAGUAUUUUGGGACAGGUAGUCCAGUUUAAAAGAUGUAAAUAAUUAUUGGUGUCUUGUAAAUCUUUUCCUAAUCCUAAUAUCAAUUGAUCAGUGAAAGAAAAAACAAAACAAGGCACAUCUGACAAAAAAUAGCCACAUUUUACCAAUGCUGAAAAUCCAGGUGGUCUCACUCAAUAGUUUUAAUUCUUUGCUAGACAAGAGUGUGCAGAAUAGCAAACCGUUGCUGGACUUUUACACAAUACUGUUUUCCAGAUCUGUCUGCAACUUGACAGGCAAAUUGUUUCGCAAUAGUUGCUGAAUUAAGGUGAAGUCCAUAAUUCAGAUUUGAAAGUCUUAAAUGCAACUUCUCCAUAAUUGGAAAUUCAGUGCCUAGAUGUCUGUCAGGGACACAGCUAUUUGUAUCUUGCCAAAAACAACUUGGUUCACAAUCACAAGGGAAAACUUAGCUUCCCAGCUGGCUGAUGUGAUGUAAUCUGACUCCUGCUCAGUUACCAGAGUGCUGCAGGAACAUGUGUUCCAUUUGUUGACAGAACAAUUGUCCUGGAUAGCAUUUACUUACAGUUCAGUACUUUCAUGAAUAUUAGAAGAACUUAAGUCACAUAGCACAGAAAGUGCAGGUAGCACUUUCCAUUUUCAGUGUGCUUCUAAGCACACUGCCAACUCCCUCAGUACAUCUUCUAGAUUUACUAGUGAUCUACAAAUUGCACAGAGUACAGGCAAUUUAGAACUUGGACAGAUUGUGUUGUACCUUGCCUUCCUCAGCUGGCCACUCUCAUUUCUUCUCACUCUAGCCCUCAUAACUUCUUUGUCCAAAGUUGCUUCAUGGUGGGAUUUAUGCCAUGGUGAUUUCCUUAGUGAAAACAGAAGAAGUGUGGAAGAGGCCUCAGUGACAAGAACAAGAGUGAAGCUGGACAACAGUUCAGGGAAUUGCACACCUGUGAUCUAACAUCUAUAGAUAUUUUUUGCAGACAUCCCACCUUUUUGAACAACCUGAUGAAUGUUUUUCUCAUUAAGAACGGGUCACAAGGAUCUGGAAAGCAGUAAUUUGUUUGCGUUACCUGUUGGUGAGCUGUGAGGAGUUGUCUUUGCUCAGACAGUAAUCUCUGGAUUUGUGUUGUAAUCCCUUUGUUUCCUGAAUAACACAGUCAAAUUUGCCAUCAAUUCUUUUUCUUUUCACUUGAAAAUCUUAUUGUAAUAAGUUGUGAUGAUGUUUGUAUGUUCUUUAGAAAUCUCAGAUAAGAGUCUUGAACUUUAUAGAGGCAGCAUUUACACGAGGGACUUUGACAGCCAUCCCCUCUUGAGGAGGUUACAGCGUCACUAAAUCCUAAUCUGAUUUGCACUAGGGAAUACAUGCAGCUAAUUAGCAGCAAUGUCGUCUUAAGGUUAAUUACAACAAACUGAAAUGUGAGAUGUGAAUUUGCCUUGUAAAUAAGUGUUCCCUUGUAUCCAUGCUCCUCUAUCAGAGCGGGAAAACCAGAGAUAGUGGGGAUGAUAAUAAAUGCAGCUAGUCUAUCUCUUUAAGUGAAGAA
rnacentral:lncRNA from 1 species